AGGGGUGCAGCUCAGUGGUAGAGUACCUGCCUAGCAUGCACCCGGCUCUGGGUUCAGUCCCCAGCACCACUU
rnacentral:tRNA from 1 species